rnacentral:rRNA from 1 species
UACAGAGGUCCCAAGCGUUGUUCGGAUUCAUUGGGCGUAAAGGGUGCGUAGGUGGCGCCGUAAGUGGGGUGUGAAAUUUCGGAGCUUAACUCCGAAACUGCACUCCAUACUGCGGUGCUUGAGGACUGGAGAGGAGACUGGAAUUCAUGGUGUAGCAGUGAAAUGCGUAGAGAUCAUGAGGAAGACCAGUGGCGAAGGCGGGUCUCUGGACAGUUCCUGACACUGAGGCACGAAGGCUAGGGGAGCGAACGGG